rnacentral:pre_miRNA from 1 species
CAACUACUCCCUCUGUCCCAAAUUUCUUGUCUUAGAUUUGUCUAGAUAUGGAUGUAUCUAAUACUAAAAUGUGACUUGAUACAUCUGUAUCUAGACAAAUCUAAGACAAGAAUUUUGGGACAGAGGGAGUACUUU